AUGAACGCUGGCGGCGUGCCUAAUACAUGCAAGUCGAGCGAACAGAUAAGGAGCUUGCUCCUUUGACGUUAGCGGCGGACGGGUGAGUAACACGUGGAUAACCUACCUAUAAGCCUGGGCUAACUUCGGGAAACCGGAGCUAAUACCGGAUAACAUAUUGAACCGCAUGGUUCAAUAGUGAAAGGCGGCUUUGCUGUCUCUUAUAGAUGGAUCUGCGCCGUCUUAGCUCGUUGGUAAGGUAACGGCUUAUCAAGGCAACGAUACGUAGCCGACCUGAGCGGGGGAUCGGCAACAAUGGAACUGAGACACGGUCCAGACUCCUACGGGAGGCAGCAGUAGGGAAGCUUACGCAAUGGGCGAAAGAAUGAAGGAGCAACGCCGGGUGAGUGAUAAAGGUAUUCAGAGCGUAAAACUCUGUUAUAAGAGAAGAACAAAUGUGUAAGUAACUAUGCACGUCUUGACGGUACCUGAUCAGAAAGCCACGGCUAACUACGUG
rnacentral:rRNA from 1 species